rnacentral:rRNA from 1 species
GAGACAGCAGCAGCCGCGGUAAUACGUAGGUCCCGAGCGUUGUCCGGAUUUAUUGGGCGUAAAGCGAGCGCAGGCGGUUAGAUAAGUCUGAAGUUAAAGGCUGUGGCUUAACCAUAGUACGCUUUGGAAACUGUUUAACUUGAGUGCAAGAGGGGAGAGUGGAAUUCCAUGUGUAGCGGUGAAAUGCGUAGAGAUGUGGAGGAACACCAGUGGCGAAGGCGACUCUCUGGUCUGUAACUGACGCUGAGGAGCGAAAGCGUGGGGAGCGAACAGGAUUAGAUACCCCGGUAGUCCCUGUCUCUUAUACA